GCUGGCGGCAGGCCUAACACAUGCAAGUCGAGCGGUAACAUUUCUAGCUUGCUUGAAGAUGACGAGCGGCGGACGGGUGAGUAACGCGUAGAAAUCUACCUAGUAGUGGGGGAUAGCCCAGAGAAAUUUGGAUUAAUACCGCAUACGCCCUACGGGGGAAAGCGGGGGAUCUUCGGACCUCGUGCUAUUAGAUGAGUCUGCGUCGGAUUAGCUUGUUGGUGAGGUAAUGGCUCACCAAGGCGACGAUCCGUAGCUGGUCUGAGAGGAUGACCAGCCACACUGGAACUGAGACACGGUCCAGACUCCUACGGGAGGCAGCAGUGGGGAAUAUUGCACAAUGGGCGCAAGCCUGAUGCAGCCAUGCCGCGUGUGUGAAGAAGGCCUUAGGGUUGUAAAGCACUUUCAGCAGUGAGGAAAGGGGUGUCGUUAAUAGCGCCAUCCUGUGACGUUAACUGCAGAAGAAGGACCGGCUAACUCCGUG
rnacentral:rRNA from 1 species